GAUGAACGCUGGCGGCGUGCCUAAUACAUGCAAGUCGAGCGAACAGAUGAGGAGCUUGCUCCUCUGACGUUAGCGGCGGACGGGUGAGUAACACGUGGAUAACCUACCUAUAAGACUGGGAUAACUUCGGGAAACCGGAGCUAAUACCGGAUAAUAUAUUGAACCGCAUGGUUCAAUAGUGAAAGACGGUUUUGCUGUCACUUAUAGAUGGAUCCGCGCCGCAUUAGCUAGUUGGUAAGGUAACGGCUUACCAAGGCAACGAUGCGUAGCCGUCCUGAGAGGGUGAUCGGCCACACUGGAACUGAGACACGGUCCAGACUCCUACGGGAGGCAGCAGUAGGGAAUCUUCCGCAAUGGGCGAAAGCCUGACGGAGCAACGCCGCGUGAGUGAUGAAGGUCUUCGGAUCGUAAAACUCUGUUAUUAGGGAAGAACAAAUGUGUAAGUAACUAUGCACGUCUUGACGGUGCCUAAUCAGAAAGCCACGGCUAACUACGUG
rnacentral:rRNA from 1 species